UGCAACGCUACCGAAGGUAAUUUGUUGUUGUGUAACAAUUUUAGACAAUUAAAAAUAAACGAAAACCAUUGACGCGUAGUACAAAAACCGGCUGAAUGUUUAUACAUUUAUUUACACCCAGUUUUGUUUUUGUUUUUUUUUUGGAUGAUGCUUCGAAAACGUAACGUCGCGACGGACGAUGUGAUUCGUGUACGAAAGUUGUUUAUGACAAUCAUAAACAAUACAAUAAACUUUUAUUUACUUUGUCCAUUCGAGAAACCUACAUGGAAAAUCUGAAUUGCAAUUUUUAUUCCAACUUUAGACAACUUAUUAAAACGUACCGGUACGUCCCACUGUUUUUUUUUGUUUCUGUUCAUUUUCAAAUGAAUUAAGUUACGAGAUGUUUGUCUUGGCAUUAGUACGUAUCCCAGUUUCGGCCCGCUAAAUCCAACGCAAAUAUUUAGUCUGCAGGUUCACGUGAUGCGGGUGUCAUUUCAAGUACGGGACGUACCGGUACGUCGAUGACACCGGUGGCAAUGGGACAAUUUCCUACUGACUCAACACGGCGUAACGAGUCACUAAUUGGCAAGUGCGGUUUCGCCAUACCGGUACGGAGUUCAAGGUCAAAAUGAACAUUGAUAUCUCUCGCGUUGCCGUGGCGAUUUCGGGGAAACGCGAUAAAAAUCGCGGGCAGCGAAAUUAUGUGACGUGACAGGACGAAAGGUGAACGAAGAAA